ACGAACGCUGGCGGCGUGCCUAACACAUGCAAGUCGAGCGGAGACAGUGAGUAGCUUGCUAUGAACUGUUUUAGCGGCGGACGGGUGAGUAACGCGUGAGCAACCUUUCCCAGACAGGGGAAUAACACACCGAAAGGUGUACUAAUACCGCAUAAGACCACGGAAUCACAUGGUUCUGAGGUAAAAGAUUUAUCGGUUUGGGGUGGGCUCGCGUCCGAUUAGGUAGUUGGUGAGGUAACGGCCCACCAAGCCGACGAUCGGUAGCCGACCUGAGAGGGUGAUCGGCCACAUUGGGACUGAGACACGGCCCAAACUCCUACGGGAGGCAGCAGUGGGGAAUAUUGGGCAAUGGGGGGAACCCUGACCCAGCAACGCCGCGUGGAGGAAGAAGGUUUUCGGAUCGUAAACUCCUGUCCUUGGAGACGAGUAGAAGACGGUAUCCAAGGAGGAAGCCCCGGCUAACUACGUGCCAGCAGCCGCGGUAAUACGUAGGGGGCAAGCGUUGUCCGGAAUAAUUGGGCGUAAAGGGCGCGUAGGCGGCUCGGUAAGUCUGGAGUGAAAGUCCUGCUUUUAAGGUGGGAAUUGCUUUGGAUACUGUCGGGCUUGAGUGCAGGAGAGGUUAGUGGAAUUCCCAGUGUAGCGGUGAAAUGCGUAGAGAUUGGGAGGAACACCAGUGGCGAAGGCGACUAACUGGACUGUAACUGACGCUGAGGCGCGAAAGUGUGGGGAGCAAACAGGAUUAGAUACCCUGGUAGUCCACGCCGUAAACGAUGUCGACUUGGAGGUUGUGCCCUUGAGGCGUGGCUUCCGGAGCUAACGCGUUAAGUCGACCGCCUGGGGAGUACGGCCGCAAGGUUGAAACUCAAAGGAAUUGACGGGGGCCCGCACAAGCAGCGGAGCAUGUGGUUUAAUUCGACGCAACGCGAAGAACCUUACCAGGUCUUGACAUCCACUUAAACUUACAGAGAUGUAAGGUGUGCUUGCACAAAGUGAGACAGGUGGUGCAUGGUUGUCGUCAGCUCGUGUCGUGAGAUGUUGGGUUAAGUCCCGCAACGAGCGCAACCCUUAUCUUCAGUUACUAACGCGUGAGGGUGAGGACUCUGAAGAGACUGCCGGGGACAACUCGGAGGAAGGUGGGGACGACGUCAAAUCAUCAUGCCCCUUAUGACCUGGGCUACACACGUGCUACAAUGGCCACGACAGAGAGAAGCGAAAUCGUAAGGUAGAGCGGAACUCAAAAAAGUGGUCCCAGUUCGGAUUGUGGGCUGCAACCCGCCCACAUGAAGUCGGAGUUGCUAGUAAUCGCGGAUCAGCAUGCCGCGGUGAAUACGUUCCCGGGCCUUGUACACACCGCCCGUCACACCAUGGGAGUUGGGAGUGCCCAAAGCCGGUGAGGCAACCGCAAGGAGCCAGCCGUCUAAGGCAAGACCAAUGACUGGGGUG
rnacentral:rRNA from 1 species